rnacentral:misc_RNA from 1 species
AAGUCGUAACAAGGUUUCCGUAGGUGAACCUGCGGAAGGAUCAUUAUCGUAGGGCGUUCGCGCCCUUCGAGAUAGCACCCUUUGUCUAUGUGUACUCUCGUUUCCUCGGCGGGCUCGCCCGCCAACGGGGACAAACAAACCCAUCUUUGCAGUGGAAGUUUCUGUCUGAAUAAUACAAACCUUAUUAAAACUUUCAACAACGGAUCUCUUGGUUCUG